AGGGACCUGAUGGGUGCGCAGGGAGGUAACGCUGGUGGGUGCGGGGCCCGAUACGCUGGGCGCAGGCAUGGGCAGGCUCUGACGGGCUGGGGCGAUUCUCGUGCAGGCCCAAGUGGAGGCGCUGAGGAGCCAGAACCUCUUCCUGGUGCUGGCCCUCAAGGCGCAGAGGGAGCAGGGCUGCGAACAGGACGACAGCCCCAUGGAGACUCCCAUGGAUAUGGAGGGGAUGGCGGAGGAGUGCUGGCCACCCUGGAGGGGGAGCAUUAGCCCCCGCCAGGAAAAGGAGGUAGGGUCCCAUGAGGUCAAGGGGACCCAAACCAAGCUGCCCCUCACUGCAGAAGCCAGCACCCAGGCAGAGGGCCCUGGGCAUGAACACGCCGGCACCCAGACUGGGCCCCUCUGCCGGGCUGAAGUGGGAUGCAAGACUGAACCCCUGCCCAUCAUGGAGGCGAGCACUCAAACAAAGGCUCGGCUCUGUCAAAAUCAGCGAGGACACGGGGAAUGGUAUGGUGCUUUUCGUACUGUUUGUUUGUGAGCCUGGGAUCAGAGCGGGAUGGGAACUAGGCAGGCCCUAUGAGGAGAGGCUACAGGAUCUGAACCUGUUCAGCCUCCACAAGAGAAGGCUGAGAGGGGAUCUGGUGAGGCAAUUGCUAAGACAAUACAGAUAAGUAUAGUGAGCUGCUGAUUUAAAAGAAAUAUCAAUUAACCUAAGAGAGUCACAAAAUCAUUAUUACUGAAAAAAAAAAAAUGUUUAAGUUACUGGGUCAUAUAAGAUUCCAACAGGUGACCAGCCAGCCAGGGAAAAUAACUUCUUAUUGGUAUUCCGGAUACUGCAUGCUGUAGGUUGUGUUUUGAGCAUUGUGUGUAUGGUGUAUGGGGGGUAUAGGUUUCAUAGAUACACUGACCUUGGUUCACCUGCAGAGGGGCAAUGCUGCAAGGAUCUUGAGUCCCUGCCUGUGAUGCGUCACUGAGAACAGGCUAGCUCCAUCCUCGUUAGAAGCACCCAGCAGGUAGUUAAUGAUUGCUAUUAAAGCCCCUCUCAGUCUUCUCUUCCCUAAACUAAAUAAACCCAGUUCCCUCAGCCUCUCCUCAGAAGUCAUAUGCCCCAGCCCCCGACCCAU